UGAGUACUUUGCAAUGCCUAAAUCAAAAUGGCCCUUCUAUGAUGCAUCUGUGAUGUAACCAGAGGGCAGUAACCCUUUCUUAUAGUUACAACCCAAUUAGCUCCAUGAGGGCCUUGAAAAGCACAGAACGACUUCCUUUAAGGAAAAACAUAGUGCUAUUUUAGAAAACUUUAACAGUGUGAUGGUCACAGAAAAUACCAUGAUCUUAAGGAAGUUGGGGAUAAGACGGAAGCAGACUGAGGAAAGAACAGGUCAAGGUUUCUGAUAGCUAAUUAACACCUCAGCAUUACAAUUCUGUUUUCCAUAAACUUCUGUGCAGAAAUCUGGGGAAUUCAAAAGAACUGGGGAGUGCUGAUCUCCCUGGAGUCUGAAGCCUGGAGAAACCAUCCAGAAGGCUGAAGCUAUUCAUCUCGAAGGAGCAGAUGUUGUCCCUCCCCAAGGAGUUAUUAUGGGUUGGAAGAAAUGAGAAAAUGAAUAUAAACAAGUUAUUCUGUGAAUGUUAUCAAAUAUGAUCAGCACCAACCAAAUAGAGCUCUAAAUGAGAAAAAGCAAAUGGACUCCAUGUGGUUGAAAUGUGGAGAGGAUUUUGAGAGAUGAAGCUUGAAAUACAGUUGACCCUUGAACAAG